rnacentral:rRNA from 1 species
GUGUCAGCCGCCGCGGUAAUACGUAGGUGGCAAGCGUUGUCCGGAUUUACUGGGCGUAAAGCGCGCGCAGGCGGGCUGGUCAGUCUGGGGUGAAAUCUCACGGCUCAACCGUGAGAGGUCCCUGGAUACUGCUAGCCUUGAGGGGCUCAGAGGAGAGUGGAAUUCCGGGUGUAGUGGUGGAAUGCGUAGAUAUCCGGAGGAACACCAGUGGCGAAAGCGGCUCUCUGGGGGCAACCUGACGCUGAGGCGCGAAAGCGUGGGGAGCGAACCGGAUUAGAUACCCCCGUAGUCC